AGUCCGACGAUACAGGGUGAUAGUCCCGUAGUUGACGACGUGUGUUCAGUGAAAUCGAGUAGGGCGGGACACGUGAUAUCCUGUCUGAAUAUGGGGGGACCAUCCUCCAAGGCUAAAUACUACUGACUGACCGAUAGUGAACCAGUACCGUGAGGGAAAGGCGAAAAGAACCCCUGUGAGGGGAGUGAAAUAGAACCUGAAACCGUGUACGUACAAGCAGUAGGAGCAGGCUUUGUCCUGUGACUGCGUACCUUUUGUAUAAUGGGUCAGCGACUUAUAUUCAGUGGCAAGGUUAACCAUCUAGGGGAGCCGUAGGGAAACCGAGUCUUAACUGGGCGUUCAGUCUCUGGAUAUAGACCCGAAACCAGGUGAUCUAGCCAUGGGCAGGUUGAAGGUUGAGUAACAUCAACUGGAGGACCGAACCGACUAAUGUUGAAAAAUUAGCGGAUGACUUGUGGCUAGGGGUGAAAGGCCAAUCAAACCUGGAGAUAGCUGGUUCUCCCCGAAAGCUAUUUAGGUAGCGCCUCGGACGAAUACUACUGGGGGUAGAGCACUGUUAAGGCUAGGGGGUCAUCCCGACUUACCAACCCUUUGCAAACUCCGAAUACCAGUAAGUACUAUCCGGGAGACACACGGCGGGUGCUAACGUCCGUCGUGGAGAGGGAAACAACCCAGACCGCCAGCUAAGGUCCCAAAUUACUACUAAGUGGGAAACGAUGUGGGAAGGCUCAGACAGCCAGGAUGUUGGCUUAGAAGCAGCCAUCAUUUAAAGAAAGCGUAAUAGCUCACUGGUCGAGUCGGCCUGCGCGGAAGAUGUAACGGGGCUAAGUAGUAAACCGAAGCUGCGGCAAUAUACUUUUGUAUAUUGGGUAGGGGAGCGUUCUGUAAGCGGUUGAAGGUGUGUGGUAACGCAUGCUGGACGUAUCAGAAGUGCGAAUGCUGACAUGAGUAACGAUAAAGGGGGUGAAAAACCUCCUCGCCGGAAGACCAAGGGUUCCUGUCCAACGUUAAUCGGGGCAGGGUAAGUCGACCCCUAAGGCGAGGCCGAAAGGCGUAGUCGAUGGGAAACGGGUUAAUAUUCCCGUACUUCUUACAAUUGCGAUGGGGGGACGGAGAAGGCUAGGUGGGCCUGGC
rnacentral:rRNA from 1 species